rnacentral:rRNA from 1 species
GAUGAACGCUGGCGGCGUGCCUAAUACAUGCAAGUCGAGCGAACGGACGAGAAGCUUGCCUCUCUGACGUUAGCGGCGGACGGGUGAGUAACACGUGGAUAACUUACCUAUAAGACUGGGAUAACUUCGAGAAACCGGUGCUACUACCGGCUAAUAUUUUGAACCGCAUGGUUCAAAAGUGGAAGACGGUCUUGCUGUCACUUAUAGAUGGAUCCGCGCUUCAUUAGCUAGUUGGUAAGGUAACGGCUUACCAAGGCAACGAUGCGUAGCUGACCUGAGAGGAUGAACAGCCACACUGGAACUGAGACACGGCCCAGACUCCUACGGGAGGCAGCAGUGGGGAAUCUUCCACAAUGGGCGAAAGCCUGACGGAGCAACGCCGCGUGAGUGAAGAAGGUCUUCGGGUCGUAAAGCUCUGUUGUUAGGAAAGAACAUAUGUGUAAGUAUCUGUGCGGGGCAUGACGGUACCUAAACAGAAAGCCACGGCUAACUACGUG